CGGAGGGCAGCAGUGGGGAAUUUUCCGCAAUGGGCGAAAGCCUGACGGAGCAAGACCGCGUGGGGGAAGAAGGCUCUUGGGUUGUAAACCCCUUUUCUCUGGGAAGAAAGUUGUGAAAGCAACCUGACGGUACCAGAGGAAUCAGCAUCGGCUAACUCCGUGCCAGCAGCCGCGGUAAGACGGAGGAUGCAAGCGUUAUCCGGAAUGAUUGGGCGUAAAGCGUCCGCAGGUGGCAGUUCAAGUCUGCUGUCAAAGACCGGGGCUUAACUUCGGAAAGGCAGUGGAAACUGAACAGCUAGAGUAUGGUAGGGGCAGAGGGAAUUCCUGGUGUAGCGGUGAAAUGCGUAGAGAUCAGGAAGAACAUCGGUGGCGAAGGCGCUCUGCUGGACCAUAACUGACACUCAGGGACGAAAGCUAGGGGAGCGAAUGGGAUUAGAUACCCCAGUAGUCCUAGCCGUAAACGAUGGAUACUAGGUGUUGUCUGUAUCGACCCGGACAGUGCCGUAGCUAACGCGUUAAGUAUCCCGCCUGGGGAGUACGCACGCAGG
rnacentral:rRNA from 1 species